rnacentral:rRNA from 1 species
AGAAUCAACGCUGGCGGCGUGCCUAACACAUGCAAGUCGAUCGAGAAAGUGGAGCAAUCCAUGAGUAAAGAGGCGCACGGGUGAGUAACACGUGACUAACCUACCCUCGAGUGGGGAAUAAACCUGGGGAAACCCGGGCUAAUACCGCAUAAAUACCCACGGGUCAAAGGAGCAAUUCGCUUGAGGAGGGGGUCGCGGCAGAUUAGUUAGUUGGCGGGGUAAUGGCCCACCAAGACGAUGAUCUGUA